GAGGACUGGAUGGAGCUGAAGACAAGCUGUGGAUCUUUACUGAGAGGUUGAAGGUCUGGAUCUCCAUUCUCCUUGUACCAGGUGUAUUUAGCUGCUGGGUUAGCAUCACUGCUACAGGUCAGAGUCACUGAACUGCCCUCCACUAUCUCAGCAGAGGGACUCACUGACACAGAGGGAAGUCUUGGAC